rnacentral:tRNA from 1 species
AUGCGGAUGGUGGGGCUGCGCCCCACCCUACGGUGGUGGGUAGGGCGGGGUUCACCCCGCCACCCGGGUU